AGGAAGAUAGCUCAGUGGUAGAGUGCAUGCAUUUCAUGCAUGAGGCCCUGAGUUGUAUUCCUC
rnacentral:tRNA from 1 species